UUGGAGGGCAAGUCUGGUGCCAGCAGCCGCGGUAAUUCCAGCUCCAAUAGCGUAUAUUAAAGUUGUUGCAGUUAAAAAGCUCGUAGUUGAACUUCAGACCUGACCGGGUGGUCCGCCUAACGGUGUGUACUGUCUGGCCGGGCCUUACCUCUUGGUGAGCCGGCAUGCCCUUAAUUGGGUGUGUCGGGGAACCAGGACCUUUACCUUGAGAAAAUUAGAGUGUUCAAAGCAGGCUUACGCCGGAAUACAUUAGCAUGGAAUAAUAAUAUAGGACGUGCGG
rnacentral:rRNA from 1 species